CUGCAAGGUGCUGCAUGGUUGUCGUCAGCUCGUGCCGUGAGGUGUCGGUUAAGUCCCAUAACGAGCGCAACCCUUAUCGUUAGUUGCCAUCUGGUAAUGCAGGGGACUCUAGCGAAACUGCCACCGUAAGGUGAGAGGAAGGUGGGGAUGACGUCAAAUCAGCACGGCCCUUAUGUCCAGGGCUACACACGUGUUACAAUGGUCGGUACAGAGGGCAGCUACCUGGUGACAGGAUGCUAAUCUCGAAAACCGGUCUCAGUUCGGAUCGAAGUCUGCAACUCGACUUCGUGAAGCUGGAUUCGCUAGUAAUCGCGCAUCAGCUAUGGCGCGGUGAAUACGUUCCCGGGCCUU
rnacentral:rRNA from 1 species